rnacentral:tRNA from 1 species
GGCACUGUAGCUCAGUUGGUAGAGCACAUGCUUGACAUCCUAUGGGACGACCGCAUGUCGUCGUCGGUUCGAGCCCGGCCAGAGUCA